GUACACCGUAUAAUAAUAAUAAUAUACAAUAAUAACAACGCGACGUUCGUGUAUAUAUAUAAUAAUAACAAAUAACCAACAACAAUAAUAAUUGUAUAUUAUUUUAUUUUUUUUAAUUUUAAUAUUAUAUUAUACCGGAUGGAACAAUACAAACAUUAAUAUAAUCACUUAGACGGACGGUCGUACGAAAUAAUACAAAAAUAUUAUUAAGUAUUUUAACCGUACGCGAAUCACGCCGUGUCCGUCGGAUAUUUUACUGUUUUGUGUAAUAUUACACGAUGAGUAUUAAAAUAGGACGUGUAUACGAAGAUUUGCGUUCGUGUGCAUAAUAAUAUACGCUUAAGAUGAUCGCACGUUAAAUACAAUAUUGUACGGCCAUCAGCUGCCGUGGUACGGCGCGUAAAUAAUAACGAACGACGCAAUACGUAGCGUUCGCGGGAUAUACCGCGCUGGUUCGCUAUAAUAAUGUGAUAAUACAGUAGGACCGCGUAGUAAUGCUCACUACGCUGUGUACGAUAUAUUAUAUAAUUAUAUUAUUAAUACAUAAAUAUUGCGAUUGUACGGUCUCGUGUGGUAUACACGAAAUGUGAGAGACGGCACUGGCUUGCGGACGAACGCAAUCAGAGAGUGACUUCGAAGUCUCGGACUCGGGACACCGUAUCGGCAGUAGUCACUAUAGUCAGUACGACUUUUGCUGGCGGACCGGACACGGCAGUGCGGCGCUCGCGAGAAUCAUGUGUCUCGACAUCGUAAUUGUAGUGCCCGUGUUGUUCCUCCUGUGCCUGCCGGCCGCGUCCGGCGUGGCGUGGCCAUUGGACUCGUCCAGUUGGCGGUUCGCUAAUAGAAAUGCCAGUGUCUCCGGAACGGGCCACGUGCCCGGCGGUGUCUUCGCCGACUUGCGAUCUAAUGGCGUACUGGACGAAGACCCGUUGCGCCGGUAUAACGACGUAGCGUACCGAUGGGUGUCUGAGGACGAUUGGAUUUACACCACAACUUUCAAAGUUAACUCGAGUUCAAAAUCAUUCAAUAAAAAGUAUAUUAUUUUCGACGGAAUAGAUACAUUUAGUGACAUUUAUUUGAAUAAAAAACUAAUCGGUUCAACGAAUAAUAUGUUUGUUAGAUACACUUUUUCCAUUGAAGAAUUUCUCAAAUACCAGGAAGAGGAAAAUGUGCUAGAAGUCAUCAUGAAGUCGCCCAUACGCAUGGCAAAUUAUUUUUUUAAUGAUUAUUCUGAUAAAAUCCCACCAUUUUGUGUCCCCAAAGAAUACAAUGGGGAAUGUCAUGUAAACUAUUUAAGAAAAAUGCAAAGUUCAUUUGGAUGGGAUUGGGGUCCUGCAUUCCCAUCAAUUGGAAUAUGGAAAAGCGUAAGAAUAGUAAUGUUUCAAGACAAUUUAUUAGAAGAUAUUAAAACUCAAACAAUUGCGGCGAAUACUUCACAUUGGUUAUUAAAAACUGAUAUAUACAUUAAAUGUUUUGAAAGUAUUCUCAAUGCUAAAUUUAAGUUAGCUUUGAACACUGACAAAAAUAUUAUAAGUAUUGAACAGAAUUGUUGUAACGAUAUAUGCGUUGAAAACGAAAUGCAUACUGCGAUUGAAUUAUAUGUACCUAUGACUGACAUAGACACUUGGUGGCCUAAUGGAUAUGGUGAACAGCCACUGUAUAAUUUAAGUAUAGAAUUUGUAACUAAAAAUGAUGUUCAAUCAAAAACAAUUUCAAUGGGGUUCAGAACAGCAGAACUAAUCCAGGAACCAAUCGAUAAAAAUGAUCCAAAAUUGGGUUUAUCUUUUUAUUUUAAAAUAAACGGUGUGCCAAUAUUUGCCAAAGGCACUAAUUACAUUCCAGCCAAUAUAUUUCCAGAAAAUAUGAAUGAUGAAAAUGUUAUAAAUAAUUUGUUAACUGCAGCAAAACAAGUUAAUAUGAAUACUAUUCGUGUAUGGGGCGGUGGAGUGUAUGAGAGUGAUGUAUUUUACAAAACAUGUGACAAGUUAGGUAUAAUGGUAUGGCAAGAUAUGAUGUUUGCUUGUAAUAUGUAUCCAGCAAAUCAACAGUUUUUAGAAACAGUAGAGGUUGAAAUAAAACAACAAAUUAGAAGAUUACAACAUCAUCCCAGCAUAAUAUUGUGGGCAGGUAAUAAUGAAAACGAAGCUGCAUUAAGAGGCAAUUGGUAUGGAACGAGAAAAAAUUAUUCCAUGUUUGCUUCCGACUAUGUUGAAUUAUAUGUCAACACAAUAAAAAAAACAAUAAUGGAGGAAGAUAAAACAAGAAAUUUUGUGGUAUCAAGUCCUACUAAUGGCUUAAAAUCUGAAGAAGAAAAUUAUAUAGCGGAAAAUCCAUAUAGUGCUUUAUAUGGAGAUGUACAUUACUAUAACUAUGAAGUUAAUAGCUGGAGUUCAAUUUUUUUCCCAUGGACUAGAUUUGCAUCAGAAUUUGGGUUACAGUCUCUUCCAGCAUAUCAGACACUUCAAAAAGCUUUAGAUAUAAACGAUUUGAUUACAUUUCCCUCACCAGCACUAAUUCAUAGACAACAUCUACCUUUAGGAUACGGGUUUAUGUUAUAUCAAAUAGAAACCAAUUUACCCGUACCGCCAAAGCCUACUGUUAGUGAUUAUGUGUAUUUGAGUCAAAUUGUUCAAGCUAGAGCUAUGAGAAUACAAACAGAAUGGUAUCGUAAACAUAGGAAUACAUUAUUAAAAGAUGGUAGAGGUUUAACAAUGGGUGCAUUAUAUUGGCAGUUAAAUGAUGUAUGGCAAGCACCAACUUGGUCAUCAAUAGAUUAUGACCAACGAUGGAAAAUGUUACACUAUAGUGCAUUAGAUUUUUUUUCACCAAUUAUCAUAGUUCCAGAAUUAGAAAUUUCAAAUAAUUUAACAAUUUAUGUUGUUUCUGAUAGUCUAGUUGAUUUGGAAGUAAUUUUUAAUAUAGAGAUAUAUAGCUGGAAAAGUAAUAGUCCACUCACUACAUACAUAUCAGAUACUAUAUUAUUGAAAAAUAAUAGUGCCCAAUUAAUUUUAAAUGAAAAUUACAUUAAUUGGUUAAAUGCUAUAACACAGAAAUGUGGUCAAAGCAAAGACCAACAUAUUCGAUCUUGUUUUUUGCACACUAAGCUAUAUUAUAAUAAUAUAAAUAUGACAGAGGCGUCUCCAUCUAAUUAUCUGUUUCCAAGCACAUUUAACAAAAUUAUCGGUUAUGAGACACCUAAUAUAUCGAAGUGUGCAAAAACAAAAUAUUACACUUCAAUAUUAGUUAAUUAAGAACAAUGAUGACUCUAUUACACUAAAUAAAUUAUUACCAUUUAAUACAACAACAAAAAACUAUGUUUAAGUUUCCAGAGUUUGGCAAGAAAAUAAAAACCAAAUAAAUGUUAAAUUGGAAUCAACAGGAAUAGGUUUGUUUGUUUGGCUAAAUGUCACCCAAACAGAUGGUAAUUUCAAUGAAAAUGGUUUUAUUAUGUUAAACAAAACA
rnacentral:misc_RNA from 1 species